rnacentral:rRNA from 1 species
UACAGAGGUCUCAAGCGUUGUUCGGAUUCACUGGGCGUAAAGGGUGCGUAGGUGGCGCUGUAAGUCGGGUGUGAAAUUUCGGAGCUUAACUCCGAAACUGCAUUCGAUACUGCGGUGCUUGAGGACUGGAGAGGAGACUGGAAUUCCUGGUGUAGCGGUGAAAUGCGCAGAUAUCAGGAGGAACACCGAUGGCGAAGGCAGGUCUCUGGGCCACUACUGACGCUGAGAAGCGAAAGCAUGGGGAGCGAACAGG